rnacentral:tRNA from 1 species
GUAUAUAUAGUUUAAAAAACCCUAGAUUGUGAUUCUAGAAAUGAAAGUUAAACCCUUUCUAUAAACC